AGUUUGAGGUGACUGGCCCAGCAGGAGUGAGAAGAAUUUAUCUUCAGCAUAAACUUCAUUAUUCUACAGUGUUUCUUCAUUUGCCUGAGAGGCUCCAGGUUACGUACAGCUGGGACUGCUGCUACCUGAUUGCAAGAAUUAUAUAAGACCAAGAUAAUGAAGGCUAGAUUUAAAAAACAUAAAGUUUUUGCAGAUUCAUCACCUGAAAAAAUUUUGCAUAUAGAUGUCUUCAUGUGCAUGUAUGUUGAUUUCUGCCUCUCCUAUUCCUCCACGCUAAACAUGUUUAUGCUUGAAGCUGCUUUGUGAAUCCCAAGAAAGCAUUUGAAGAAAAUUAAAAAUCUCUGCCAAAAACUAUAACCAUCACUGAGCUUGGUCAUAAACUUUAAUUGGAAAACUUAU
rnacentral:lncRNA from 1 species